rnacentral:rRNA from 1 species
AAUCAACGCUGGCGGCGUGCCUCAGACAUGCAAGUCGAACGCGAAAUUUCCCUUCGGGGAGAAAGUAGAGUGGCGCACGGGUGAGUAACACGUAGGUAAUUUGCCUUUGGGUGGGGAAUAACUCAGGGAAACUUGAGCUAAUACCGCAUAAUGCAGCGGCUCGACAUCGAGACAGUUGUUAAAGCGGGGGAUUGGAGCAAUCCGACCUCGCGCCUAAAGAGAAGCCUGCGGCAGAUUAGCUAGUUGGUAAGGUAAUGGCUUACCAAGGCGACGAUCUGUAACCGGCCUGAGAGGGCGGUCGGUCACACUGACACUGACAUACGGGUCAGGACUCCUACGGGAGGCAGCAGUCGGGAAUUUUGGGCAAUGGGCGCAAGCCUGACCCAGCAACGCCGCGUGAAGGAUGAAAUUUUUCGGAAUGUAAACUUCGCAAGAACAGGAAGAAUAAGUGUGGGACAAUACCCCACAUGAUGACGUACUGUUUGUAAGCUCCGGCUAACUCCGUGCCAGC